rfam:Escherichia coli ISC11, WGS project CBWP01000000 data, contig: c12
AUUACAGGUGUCUGGCAUCUGACGAGAGGUGAUGACAUUUGCCAUAACGGUGAAGCAGAGGUGUUAGAAGGUCCUCUCACCCCACCUAUGUAAACAA